ACUCCUGACCUCAGAUAAUCCACAUGCCUCGGCUUCCCAAAGUGCUGGGAUUACAGGCGUGAGCCACCGUGCCAAGCCUAGUUCAUAUUCUUUAAGGACGAUUGUGAAUAUUUUUAUGUCCAGUUAAUUUUCAUUAAGAUAUUGAUCAGUUAAUAGCUAUAUAUGUUCUAUAAAUCCUAUCUAGUUUCAACCUUAAAUUGUUUGCAUAUAUUUUAUAGUGUAGAGAUUAGGCAUUUUAAUAAAGUUUUAAAAUUUCCAGGACAUAGUGCUAAUGACUAUGCUUCCUACUAUAGGCCACAAUUUUUUUUUCUAUUGUCAACAAUAUUUUGAUAAGGAUAAUAAGGAAAUAAGGAAAUGUGUCCUUCAUUUGUUAACAAUAGGUGUUCAAGAAUUUUAAAAUGAAAAUUGAAGAAGUAAAAGACACCAUACAUUGAGUUUGUUUGAUUUCAUGGCUUCAAGAGUUCAAUAAUUUAUUGAAAUAUUUUACAGACCAAAGGAACAACAGAUAUAUUGCAUUUGUAAGUCCCCACAUAUUUUAAAGGAUAAUGGUUUAUAUAUGAAAAUUCCCUAAAGUUUACAUUUCAUCAGGAAAAGCUAAAUAAAAGAAGUUUACAUUUUCCUAGGACUAAUAAUAAGAUUUAUUUCCCAAUCCUCUUCUCUGGAGACAAAUGUAGGUCUCUCUUGAAAAGCAGAAAGAUUUGCAUAUGAGGUAUGAUUUAGAGGGCUAGAAACAUCUUUUCCAGUCUCCCCAAAAUGUUUCACUAUGUUUUAUCAUGCUAUCUGAUAAUUUUGCACUGAAGUUUUCUUUCUGAGAUAAGAAAAUGCAAAUAUCUCUGAAUGGGUCUCUUUGCUUUAGUCAUACUCAUAUGGCUACUACUGAACAAAAUAUGUUCAUUACAGGAUGAAGGGAAUGUUGCCAGCCAGCAAAUCCCUAGAGUCUGCACCACACCAAACGUUGCUUAGCAAUUUCCACGAUGUUCUGUCUAAUUUGCAAGGAUCAAGGAGAUGUUUGUGUAUGUUACAUAAAGCUGUAAAAUUGGUAUUUAUUGUAUGUUUCUGUAUUGAAAGCUUUACAAACAAAGGAAAUGGAAAGUUAACAGGUGGAUAUGAUAGUGUGGUGCUACUUUAGCUGGAUGGUAAGGGAGGGCUUCUCUUAGGAAGUGUUUCAGGCCAGGACUUGAAUAAUGAAUAGUAUCCAGUCAUACAAAAAUCUGGGGGAAAGACUUUUCAGGCCCAGGAGAAAUGAACUUCUUUUCAUGCAUACAAGAAUGAAAGUGAACAUUACCUACUCUAUGUCCUGAAGUGGGAAGUUGGCUUGCCAGAGAGUAGGUAAUUUUCACUUUGAUUAUUUUAUGCAUUCAAUUAUACUACUACUUAGGUUGAUUCAUAAGGGCCUCCACAAUUUGGUUCCUACUUAAAAUUUAAAACUUUCCUAACCCAUUCCCACCAUAUAUUGAGCUAAUCCAUGCAUUUGUGACUUUGCGUAUGCUGUUUUCAUUGUUUAAUAUUCUUCUCAUGCAUUCUUUCUUUCCUGAUAACGAACUCAUCUUUGAAAGUCCCCUUCAAGCAUCUUCUCCUUUAGGAGGCCGCUUCUCACUGUCUCCUGCCUGUGACCCACUGAAUUGUUCAGUUUUUAAGCUGCCAUUGUCUUGUGCAUUUGACACAUUGCUUUGCAAUUACUGAUUUACAUGUCUGCUUUUAUCACUGGUGAGGUUCUUUAGGAGAGAGACAUUAUUAAUUCAUCUCUGGGCACAUGUGGUCCAACAUAUUAAAAGUACUACAGAGUGCUAUUACUAUGUAGUAUUUAGUAUUAGUAGCAGUUACUCAACAAAUCAUUUUUAAAUAAGUGAAUAUAAUAUAUUUUUGUUAUUAUGAUUUAACAUAAGAUAGAAUUUAUCUUCAGAAGUUUCCAUGAUAUAUCUGUUCUAGUUAAAAGCCAAUAGCCAUUAGAAUAAUACCAUCAUUUAAUGUAAAACAAUAAAAUAUUAAAUACGAUAGUUCAUAUUUAAUGUGAACUAAGCUCAUGGAAAUAUUGUGUAAAGAUUGAGUAAUUAUUGACAUACAAUUUUAAAUUCAACUUUUCAUAUAGUAUACCUUAUGAUACAUUUUCAGCCUACUUUUAAAUAUAUUGGCAUUGAGAGCCAGUUACUAAUUCGUUGAAUUCAUUAUUUCUUUUUAAGUUAUAGAAGUAGAAUUAUGUUUGAGACAUUCAUUAUUUUUAGUAGAGACAGGGUUUCACCAGGUUGAUCAGGCUGGUCUCGAUCUCCUGACCUCAAAUGAUCCACUGCCUCGGCUUCCCAAAGUGCUGGGAUUACAGGCGUGAACUGCCACACCCAGCCACCCCUCUUAUUCUUUAAGUACUUCCUUGUUUUCUAAUGUACAAGAUGUUCCAUAUUAUUUUGUUAUUUCUCUUCCCCAGCUCUGGAAUCUGCCUUUCCUUCAAGGAGCCUUGGUUCUUUCUAGUGACAAAUUAUAUUUAGAAACCAAUAUCUGGAUAUUUGACUUGAGAUUGCUAUUGGCCAUUGUUUCUAGUCUCUUUCAGUAGACAGAACUAAGAAAUGUAAGAAGAAAUAUUUGAAUGUAUGUAUAUGUAAUAUAUUAAGUACAUUUAAACAUAUUAAAUUAAUGAGUUCAUACUAAUACUUUCAAUAAACCACAAUUCCCUUUUCAUGUUUUUGAAGGAAAAAUAUACAUUGUCUGUAUACAGUGGACAUAGAUAGUAAUAAUACUGAUCUAGAAAAGAGCAAUCUUAAAUAGAUCCCAUUAAUAAAGAUAACAUAUCUUGGAAUUCUAGAUAUUAGAGAGAUUAUCUAGAGCUGUGUUCUAGAUAUUUUAUAGUAGAUCUUUGCUGUGCUGUUUUGGAUUUGUGUUGGAGUAGAACAAUCGGAUGACAAAAGCUCAUCCCACAUGGAAAAAUCAAAGCAUUCAUUACAGAGAGAAUUUUGAAAUAAAUGCAUAUAUAUGUACACACACAUAUAUAUAUGUAUAUGGGGGUUAUAAACAAUGAAGGAAAUAGUGACACUAUCUAUGUGGGAACAAUACUAGUAUCCUCCCUUUGGGUGAAUCCAGUAGCUACAGAUGCAAUUCUGGGGACUCUGUUUAGCAAUAGCUUAACUAUUGCUUGGCUACAAGCAUGGAUAACUUGUUCAAAGAUAAUGAGGAGUUGUGAAUAUCUAAAUAAACAAGAUUUGCAACAUAAAAAGCUUUGUGACUAUGUGUCUGAAUUCUUAGAGUUUUCUCCCAGCAAGACAUUGGACGUGGCAGACUUUUCUGUAAUGGUCCAUCUCGCCCUAUUUCAUGAAAAGCCAGAGCUUCUCUACUUCGUUUACUAACCCCAAAUAUAUAAAUUUAAUAGAAAUAGUAGCCUGUUUUUACUGGUUUAUUUGCUUUAUCUAAAAAAAAAAGGCAUAAAGUCUGUUUUGGAUAGCAUAACAAAACAAAGGUUCUUAUUUUAAUAAUGCAUCAUAUAUAUACUUGGUAACUAUUGCAUAGUAAUAAUUUAAUAACUUGAAAAAUAUGCAUGUAUAUUGGAAGAGGCCACAAUUAUUAUAAAAAAAUAAUUUGACCAGUAUUGAACAGUGCAAAUAAUAAUUAUUUAGAAGCUUUUGUGCAACAGAUGCCAUAUGUGUUACAUUUUAUUUGAUCAUCAAAACAAGAAAAUAGUCAUAUAUAAUAUUAUCCCCAUUUCAUAGAAGAAACUGAGAUUACAUAAUUUGUUCAACUUGACCAACUUCUUAUAACUAAUACAUAGCAGAGAGAAGGUUCAAACCUCGUUGGGUUUGACUCCAGACCCCAGCCUCUCUUGAGUGCAUCAUAAAAGCCUUUGGUCUGCCCGUGGCCAGUAACAACUUUUACUAAAUUGAUUUGUAUUUGUAAAAGGAAGUUAUUUGCCUAUUUUGCUUUUUAUUUGUAAAAGGAAGUUAUUUGCCUAUUUUGAUGAUCCCCAGUGUUUUUAACAUCAGUAAGUGUGUCCACCACACAUGAUAGUUUUUGAUCGUUUUUAAUGUUUUGUUUCCAUGAUUACAAGAUUAAAAAACUAUUAAUUAGUGAUACUUUAAAUUUUGAUUUUAUUAAUUAAAACACAUCUGUCUCCACCGGAAGAAGAGCACUUGUGACUAUAGCAUAGACGGCUUCAUUUUGAGGAGUAAAUUACAAUGGAACGUGAACCAAAGAUAUAUAGAGAAGGCAUGGACCACACAAAUGUGAUUGAAAUCUGGCCUGGAGUCAUCCUAAAUUGACUUUUUCCUACAGGGCCCCUAAAAGAGAGUAGAAUCCCAACAGAUAGAGUCUAUGGAGAGAUAGACUGCUGAGACCCACAUCAGUGAAAUGCAGGCAAGGAAGGGAUCCCUAGCAAAGAAUGGGGAGAGGAAUGGAUGGUCUGAAGAAUGCUGAAGGAACUGAAACACUCUGCAAGGCAAAGAAGAUCCAGUAUUAACUUUGACCCCUGCCAAACCCAGGCAGCAACAACGGCGGCUCACAAAGCACCAGCACGAACGCGCUUUCUUGUGCCCCCACAUCUCUUCCCUUCACCAUCUUGAACCCUGGUGUCAUCAUAAACCAUCCUAUAGCACAGCUGAUGAAAGAGAAGCCAUCUUGCUGCUAUUUGACAAACAUGAAGAUAAAAGCUUUCCUUUAAAGAUGGUGGAGCAAAAAGAUAGAAGGGGCCUAGACUCCCUACCUUCACAUUUCCUCCUAUGAAAGCAUUGCUAUUAUUAUAAGGUUAAUCUGCCAAAACAGACUUCCAUGUCAUAUGCUUAAAUGCAUCAAAAUUCAUACAAUAUACACUAAAUUGGUAAAAGUAUCCAUUUUAAAGGAUUAAUCUGAGGGACCCACAGAUACUUAACAUAAUCAACUCUCAGAAAAAAGAAAAUCACUUAUUUCAUUGUGAUUUUGAAGCUGAUCUUUUAUGAUCUUUUAGUUAUCAAACUGUUAAAUACAUUUUAACUUUCAAAUUUUAUGAAUAAAGGAGAUGAAUCCUGUUAUU